GUUUAGGUAGCUCAGUUGGUUAGAGCAAAGGACUGAAAAUCCUUGGGUCAGUGGUUCAAAUCCACUCCUAAACA
rnacentral:tRNA from 1 species